CCUUACCCAAUUAUUUUUGUUUUGAAUCACGUCUGAAGUCGAAGGGUUUGGGAUUUUUGUUAUACAAUGGAGUCUUUCCUGAGGCAGUAACUCCCUUGACAAGAAUAAGGAUAGCAGUUUGGUGAUGUCUUGUUUACUUAAGCAUGGGAAGGUAAAGCCAGAGACAUCAAACAGACUGAGAAGGAAGUUGCAACUUGAUAAGUCCUUAACACUUGCUAGCAAAAUAUAAUGCAUACAGGACUGUAACAGCCAUCUUAGUCAUUGCACUUUACCGCCCUAUUUAGUGGCAUUCAGAUUAGUGCCCUGCUACGCUGAUCCCUCCAAAUUCUUCACCUCUCCCUGCAAAUGUGAUGCUGAGCUCUUUACAGGCACCUGUUAAUGAAUCCUGGCAAUACAUGUUCAAGCAGGCAAGAAAGAGGGUUCCCAAUUUGCAGAUGAGGAAACAGGCACAGCAAAGUGUGAAGAUGAAGUCUUUUGCCCUUACUCUUAUCCUUUUACCCACACUGGUAGUACAUCAUUCCAUGAGGCUUAAAUGUGGCUCUUGAAGGAGCAAGACGCUACUCAGCAUAAUUAAGGGUGGCAAAACUCUGGCUUUCCCUGUCUUGUUCAAUACCAUACUCCAAGUCCAUGGCAAGUGGGAUUAUCAGUCAGGAAUUCUUACUUCCCCAUCUUAUUAUCAGGCCUUUUUUUUCCUGAAGAAAUUUCCUGUCUUUUCUCUAGUUUCUAAUGACCAGGAAGGCAAUUCCCUAAAUGCAAUUAGCUGCUAUCUUGCUAUCUACCUACAGGUUUUGCAGAGGGCUCAUCAUUAUCAUUUCUAAGCAUUUAUAUCUCUCCUUUCACUUCUGCAUCUCUGUCUCCCAUCAAAAGUCUUCCAGACUUUUUGAGCUAUUUAUACCACCUGGGUGCCAGUCAGAACUGCAGGAGCAGAGGUUGUUCAUAUCUGGUCACUCCUGAAAGACAGCGGUUAAGAGGCAGAGUCAGAGCAGGCUGACCACUGGAGCUGGUUGGUUGUGCAGGAACUGAGUAUGCAGCAACUUUUAAAGGACAGUAGCAAAUGACGUCCUCCAGUGCUGUCUGUGCAACCAGGAAGCUCUGGAGUUGUGCCUCUGAAACAGAAUAGGUCUGGUGCUGCCCCAAACGGGCAGGCACUGCGCCUCACUAAGGCUGUGGCUAACUGCCAUAUUCUAGUCCAUUAAAAUCAUAAGGAUUGGGAGAAUGCCUGCUGACCUGGAGCUUCCACCAGAUUGACAGUCUUUUUUUAUUCUGGGGAGGAUGGAUUCACUGCCUCCCAGCUAACCAAAUAUUUUGUGCAAUACAGAGUAUUCAAGCUUCUUUGAAAGAAACUACCAUCAACAGAAAAAUCCAAGGCUGAAAGGAUCAGCCAAUGGAAGAAAAGAAUGGCAUGAGAGAGGACUUCUGUAUUUAAUGACAGGUGUCACUCCAGAAGGCUAUCCCAAAGUAAUCCUGAUGGACACAGCAUCAAGUAAUAUCACAGUCCAUAUUCAAGAUGGCAUUCUAAAAACUACUACAUACAGAAAACCCACAGAACACCAUACCUAUGUCCACAAGAUCAGCAAUCAUCCCAAGCACACCAAAAAAGCUGUUUUCUGCAGCUGGGCCCUCAUAUACCACCUCAACUUUUCUGAGGAGAACAUUCUUGAUGCCCACCUGACCAGCCUAAAAUCUGCCUUUAUACAUACAACAGGGAUACUCCAUUAGGCAAAUAAAUGGCACAUUUGAAAGAACUAUCCAAAUAUGCUGUAGUAACUUGCUACAGUACAAAAAGAAAACUUCAUGCAACCACACAUCCUUGGUGGUCCCCUACCACCCCACACUGGAACAUAUCAGAAGAACCAUCAGAAAAAACAUCCUAUACUCAACAAAGAUCAGACCUUGAGAGAAGUAUUCCCAGCUCCUCCGUUUGUGGCUUUGAAGAAGCCCCCUAACCUUGCCCAACUCAUCAUCAGAAGCAAACUCCCCACUGCCCAACAGACGUCAAGUGGAACACAGCCUUGCCUUGGCAAGAAAUACUUAACCUGUCAGCACACUUCCACUGCCACUACUAUCAAAAGCCCCCCAGCAGAAACCAUGGUUCCUACACAUGCCUUUCCCAAAAUGUGAUACACCUGAUCCAGUGCACCAAGUGCCCUCACAGCAACUAUGUAGGUGAAACUAAACAGCAACUAUGCACCAGAAUGAACACUCACAGGAAAAAAUAUAAAGGAUGGAGACGUCCAUACCAUCAGGAGCACAUUUCUCACAUAACAGCCACUCCUUCUUUGACCUUAUUAGUCUUGUGCUCAAGGGAAAUCUACCUAAUAUCUUUAACUGGUGAACUUGGAAACAAAAAUUCAUAAGCUGGCUGCACAGUAACAACCAAGGACUAAACACCGAUAUUGGGUUUAUGGCACAUUAUAAUUUAUCCAACUCCUGAAUUCUUCUACGCAGGGAAGGUAAGAAUGACCCUCCUCCAUUUUCAUAGCACUUGAUCUCCCAGUAAUCCACUUCAUUUCUUCUGCUAAUUGUGUGUCUGCUAUCCCUGAGAUUUCUCCCAGUCCCUUCCCUCUGCUGUACCUGGCUUUCUGUGAUCAGAUUUGAUGAAGAUGUCUUGCGUUCAAUAGCUUGUCCAUCUUUAUCCCAACUUCGUAGUUGGUUCAAUAAAAGAUAU